UAUUCUAAGGCGCUUGAGAGAACUCAGGAGAAGGAACUCGGCAAAUUGACACCGUAACUUCGGAAGAAGGUGUGCCUUUAGUAGGUGAAGGGAUUUACUCCUGGAGCCCAAUGAGGUUGCAAAAAAUCGGUGGCUGCGACUGUUUAUUAAAAACACAGCACUCUGCAAACACGAAAGUGGACGUAUAGGGUGUGACGCCUGCCCGGUGCUGGAAGAUUAAAUGAUGGGGUGCAAGCUCUUGAUCGAAGUCCCAGUAAACGGCGGCCGUAACAAUAACGGUCCUAAGGUAGCGAAAUUCCUUGUCGGGUAAGUUCCGACCUGCACGAAUGGCGUAACGAUGGCCACACUGUCUCCUCCUGAGACUCAGCGAAGUUGAAAUGUUUGUGAUGAUGCAAUCUCCCCGCGGAAAGACGGAAAGACCCCAUGAACCUUUACUGUAGCUUUGUAUUGGACUUUGAACAGAUCUGUGUAGGAUAGGUGGGAGGCUUUGAAGUAGGGUCGCUAGAUCUUAUGGAGCCAACGUUGAAAUACCACCCUGGUGUGUUUGAGGUUCUAACCUAGGUCCAUUAUCUGGAUCGGGGACAGUGCAUGGUAGGCAGUUUGACUGGGGCGGUCUCCUCCCAAAGCGUAACGGAGGAGUUCGAAGGUACGCUAGUUACGGUCGGACAUCGUGACGAUAGUGCAAUGGCAUAAGCGUGCUUAACUGCGAGACUGACAAGUCGAGCAGAUGCGAAAGCAGGACAUAGUGAUCCGGUGGUUCUGUAUGGAAGGGCCAUCGCUCAACGGAUAAAAGGUACUCUGGGGAUAACAGGCUGAUACCGCCCAAGAGUUCAUAUCGACGGCGGUGUUUGGCACCUCGAUGUCGGCUCAUCUCAUCCUGGGGCUGUAGCCGGUCCCAAGGGUAUGGCUGUUCGCCAUUUAAAGAGGUACGUGAGCUGGGUUUAAAACGUCGUGAGACAGUUUGGUCCCUAUCUUCCGUGGGCGCUGCAGAUUUGAGGAAGCCUGCUCCUAGUACGAGAGGACCGGAGUGGACACACCUCUGGUGUAUCGGUUGUCACGCCAGUGGCAUUGCCGAGUAGCUAAGUGUGGAAGAGAUAACCGCUGAAAGCAUCUAAGCGGGAAACUCGUUUCAAGAUGAUAUCUGCCGGGGCCUUGAGCCCCCUAAAGAGUCGUUCAAGACCAGGACGUUGAUAGGUCGGGUGUGGAAGCGCAGUAAUGCGUUAAGCUAACCGAUACUAAUUGCUCGUGCGGCUUGACC
rnacentral:rRNA from 1 species